GCAUGUUCGACGCCUUUAGCUAAGAUCAAGUGUAGUAUCUGUUCUUAUCAGUUUAAUAUUCGAUACGUCCUCUACCCGGGGACUAUAUAUUAAAGUCGAUUUUUUUUGGCUCGGAGCUGGAGCCAUAGGAGCUUGUCUUACCCACUGCGUGGCUGGUUGUGCAGUGUCUCUCCAGGAGCAGUGUGCUUCCC